rnacentral:snRNA from 1 species
AUCGAUUCUUGGCCUUUUGGCUAAGAUCAAGUGUAGAGCAGCAUUAUCAACAGCAGCAAACCUAUGGAGACAGCCCAAAUGUCCAUCAACUGAUGAAUGGAUAAAAAAGAAGUGGGGUGUGUGUGUGUAUGUAUGUAUGUAUAUGUAUAUAUACAUAUACAUAUAUAUAUAUAUAUAUAUAUAUAUAUGCACAAU